GACGGGUAGCCGGCCUGAGAGGGCGACCGGCCACACUGGGACUGAGACACGGCCCAGACUCCUACGGGAGGCAGCAGUGGGGAAUAUUGCACAAUGGGCGAAAGCCUGAUGCAGCGACGCCGCGUGAGGGAUGACGGCCUUCGGGUUGUAAACCUCUUUCAGCAGGGAAGAAGCGAAAGUGACGGUACCUGCAGAAGAAGCGCCGGCUAACUACGUGCCAGCAGCCGCGGUAAUACGUAGGGCGCAAGCGUUGUCCGGAAUUAUUGGGCGUAAAGAGCUCGUAGGCGGCUUGUCACGUCGGUUGUGAAAGCCCGGGGCUUAACCCCGGGUCUGCAGUCGAUACGGGCAGGCUAGAGUUCGGUAGGGGAGAUCGGAAUUCCUGGUGUAGCGGUGAAAUGCGCAGAUAUCAGGAGGAACACCGGUGGCGAAGGCGGAUCUCUGGGCCGAUACUGACGCUGAGGAGCGAAAGCGUGGGGAGCGAACAGGAUUAGAUACCCUGGUAGUCCACGCCGUAAACGGUGGGCACUAGGUGUGGGCAACAUUCCACGUUGUCCGUGCCGCAGCUAACGCAUUAAGU
rnacentral:rRNA from 1 species